CCUUGGGACUAGACUAAGUGGGAGUGAUGAGAAGAGGAGGCAGUCUCUAAAAAGCUCUUUUCUUUUCCUUCGUCUGGUAACUUUCAGAUCCCAGUUUGUUAGUAUCUCUGUCGUCACAUAAAAAUAAUUGACCUCUCAUCUUUUUUUUUCGUCUCCUUAAAUCUAACCCCAUUCUAUUAUUUACUUACAUGUCUUGUGUUGUGUCC